rnacentral:rRNA from 1 species
UCAACAACGGAUCUCUUGGUUCUGGCAUCGAUGAAGAACGCAGCGAAAUGCGAUAAGUAGUGUGAAUUGCAGAAUUCAGUGAAUCAUCGAAUCUUUGAACGCACAUUGCGCCCCUUGGUAUUCCAUGGGGCAUGCCUGUUCGAGCGUCAUUUGUACCUUCAAGCUCUGCUUGGUGUUGGGUGUUUGUCUCGCCUCCGCGUGUA